rnacentral:lncRNA from 1 species
ACCAUAUGUAUGUAUGUAUUUAUUUUUUUUAGAGACCGGGUCUUGCUCUGGCAUCCACGCUGGAGUGCAGCAGCAUCAUUACAGCUCACUGCAGCCUCGAACUCAUGGGCUCAAGCAGUCUUCCCACCUCAGCCUUCCAAGUAGCUGUGACUACAGAUGCCUUGCUGUUGAAGGCUGGGAAAGGAAGAUGAAACUGUGCAGAGCCCUUGACUUCUCCCUCUUCUUAAGACUGUGGGAUAAAUUUUUCAAAACAUUGGCUAGGAGACUUGCAUUCAAAACCAGCUGAGUAAAUAAUGGGGCUUUGGCCAGUAUCUUCCAGAGGCAAAAGAUCAUCAGGGUGGCUUUUAGCAGUGGGAAUCCCAGAAGAGCCCACACGGCACCCAGUGGAGAGUCGUUUCAGAGAGUGCAGAGCCAGCUCCCAUGAUACCAGUGAAGGACCUUACAGAUGGGACAAGAGGCCCAGGGAAAUGGAGGACCUGACUUGCUCACACAGCAGAAUCAGAACUAAGACCCAACCAUCCUACCUCUCAACUGAGAGUAACUUCUGCCAGAUCACAGACCUUCUUCUGGGGAAAAGCAAACUAAGACCAUACUUACAAGAAAAGAGGAUACCAGG